rnacentral:rRNA from 1 species
AUGAAGCCCUUCGGGGUGGAUUAGUGGCGAACGGGUGAGUAACACGUGGGCAAUCUGCCCUUCACUCUGGGACAAGCCCUGGAAACGGGGUCUAAUACCGGAUAAUACCUGCCUGGGCAUCUGGGUGGGUUGAAAGCUCCGGCGGUGAAGGAUGAGCCCGCGGCCUAUCAGCUUGUUGGUGAGGUAGUGGCUCACCAAGGCGACGACGGGUAGCCGGCCUGAGAGGGCGACCGGCCACACUGGGACUGAGACACGGCCCAGACUCCUACGGGAGGCAGCAGUGGGGAAUAUUGCACAAUGGGCGAAAGCCUGAUGCAGCGACGCCGCGUGAGGGAUGACGGCCUUCGGGUUGUAAACCUCUUUCAGCAGGGAAGAAGCGAGAGUGACGGUACCUGCAGAAGAAGCGCCGGCUAACUACGUGCCAGCAGCCGCGGUAAUACGUAGGGCGCAAGCGUUGUCCGGAAUUAUUGGGCGUAAAGAGCUCGUAGGCGGCUUGUCACGUCGGGUGUGAAAGACCGGGGCUUAACCCCGGUUCUGCAUUCGAUACGGGCUAGCUAGAGUGUGGUAGGGGAGAUCGGAAUUCCUGGUGUAGCGGUGAAAUGCGCAGAUAUCAGGAGGAACACCGGUGGCGAAGGCGGAUCUCUGGGCCAUUACUGACGCUGAGGAGCGAAAGCGUGGGGAGCGAACAGGAUUAGAUACCCUGGUAGUCCACGCCGUAAACGGUGGGAACUAGGUGU